rnacentral:lncRNA from 1 species
GUUUCACCAUGGUCUCGAUCUCCUGACGUCGUGAUCUGCCCGCCUCGGCCUCCUAAAGUGCUGGGAUUACAGGUGUGAGCCACCACGCAAAAAAAGGUUUUUAUUGAGAAAUAGCAUUUUACUUUGCUUAUAUCCAGUUCAGUUCAUUGUCAAGACUGCUGUUUUCUGACACUUGAAAAGAUGCCACGCUGGAGCCAAUGACUAUAACUAGGUCAAAGAUGUAUUGCUUAGCCAUAUGUAAAAUAAGGGAAGAGUUUUUAGCAAAGGGAACCAUAAGCAAGAGUGCUUUUGUAUGUCCAGGAAGAAAGAGACCCUUAAUCUGGGGCCAUAGGACAGGAGCCCACCAGCAGGAUUUUUGAAUAAUCCUGGGGCAGACUAAUUUUGGGUGACCCGUCUCAGAAUGGUGGAUCAAGGGGGCAAGUCAACUUGCCUUGUAUGCAGCUUAAGAGGAUUAGUAGAAGAGAGUGGGUCCAGAUUUCUGGUGGUUUCUGCCCUAGCAGAUGUCCAACACAUAAGCCAGGACAUUCUGCUGUGAGUGACUUAUUGUACCCAACUCUAUUUCUCUCCAAAGUGAAAUACAUUUUUCAUAGGUGAUAUAACUUUUUAAAAUGUAUAUAGAGAUAUAACUUAAAUAUGGGGCUUUGAAAAAGCACAAAUAGGCUGAGCAUGGUGGCUUGCACCUGUAAUCCCAGUACUUUGGGAGGUUGAGGUGGGCAAGACCUGAGGUCAGGAGUUCCAGACCAGCCUGGCCAACAUGAUGAAACCCUGUCUCUACUAAAAAUACAAAAAUUAGCCAGGCAUGAUUGCGCACAUCUGUAGUCCCGGCUACUAGAGAGGCUGAGGUGGGAGGAUCACUUGAACCUGGGAGUUGGAGGUUUCAUUGAGCUGAGAUCAUGCCACUGCACUCCAGCCUGAGUGACAGACACUUUAAAAAAAAAAUAGAUUUUGCUAUUGGGUAAGGUAUAGUAGUCGGCAGCAGAAUGGACUGAUUGAGGACAACUAUAAAAUUACAAAAAAUAUUUAAAUGCAACUUAUUGCUAUAGAAGCAAAGAGAACUAAAGGAGCAAAAUUCUAGAGAGUGGUAAAUCCCAGAAAGCACAUGCACAGAAUGCAGCUCUUUGCUCUGGGGACCCUUUCCACUUCUGGCUAUAGGGAAGAACCUGAAUACUGAACUUGGUUCAGGCAGAGGGCCAUACCCUGGGGGUCAGGGGAAGGCAUGGGGGGGACCAGAAACCAGGAGAACAAUCAAGACUGCAAUUAAAAAAAAAUGGAUACAUUAGGGGCUUCAAACACAUAAUUUCUCAAGAAAUUUCCAGAUAUCUCAUGCUGCAUAGGGCAGGAGGCUGAAAAGCUAAUUUGAGAAGAAAACAAGUAGGAUUUUUGUUUUGUUUUGCAUUUUGCAAUAUGGAGGAGAAAUGAUUAGACCUUAGGAAGUGCCAGUGGGUUGGUCCUUUCAUGAACAUGCCAUCAGUAAAAGCCCUGGAAACAAGGUCAUACCAGAGAUUCAUUGUACCUUGUCACAACUGCAAACAAUAUCUGAGUGGAAUAUUCAAAAACUUGCUUAGAAAGAAAACUCUAGGACAGAUGGCUCCACUGAAGUUAUUCCAAAUAUUUAAUAAAUAAAGCAUACCAGGCUUUUAUAAACUCUUCUAGAAGAAAAAAGUUGGAACUUUUCCAAUUCAGUUUUUCAGGCCAGUGCAACCUUGAUACCAAAACCAAUAAAACAAACAAACAAACAAAAAACAUAAAGCUAUAGACCAAAGUCUCAUAGAUUUAGAUGCAAAAUCCUAAAAUUGAAAAAAAAAGUCUAGUCAUAUCCAUAAACUGUAUCAUCACCAAGAGAUGUUUAUUAGGGCAAUCAAAAGAUGAUUUAUUAUUUUUUAAAAAAUCAAUGUGGCCUUCCCUUCCUCUUUCUUUUGAUUCCCCUCUUUGAGUUUUUAUGUGUCUCUUUUGCCUUCCCUUCCCAGAGUGGAGGAGUUAGACCUGCAUUGUGGGAUGAGAGGAGUUGUGGCUAUGUGUCUGCUGGCACCAAGAGGGCUGAGGGUGAGGUGUGGAAGGGACAGGGGGAGGAGAUGGGCAGCAUUGUUAAGAGAUUGGUACCACUGAGCAAAUAUGUUGAGAAUGAUGAUGGCAAGGUUUCUCCCUGUUAGAGAAGGUAUUUGUAGAAAUAGGAAUGAGGAGAGCUAGAAAACCUGGAGUGUGGGAUUAGAAUAGAACUCAUAUCUUUUAAAUACAUAGGAACAAUAGAGAAAUUGUUGGGUGUGCCCAUAUACAUAUAUUUUGUGAUUCAUUCUACCGAGAGGACAUAAAUGCAGUCACAGCUCAGUAACAGUAAACACACCAACUGCCAAGUUAUUAUUUCCUAAAUACUAUCCACAAAAAAGGGGACCAGGGAUGAUUCCUAGUCGGAGAUUGGGAGAAAAAGAAGAUGAGCCUGAAUCAUUUCAUGUACCUAACAGAAAGAAAAUACUCUGGCUGGGCUCAGUGGCUCAUGUUUGUAAUUCUAGCAUGUUAGGAGGUCGAGGUGGGUGUGUUGCUUGAGCCCAGGAGUUUGAGACCAGCCCAGGCAACAUGGCAAAACUGUCUCUACAAAAAAUAUAAAAAUUAGCCAGGCGUGGUGGCAUGCACCUGUCAUCCGAGAUACUCAGGAGGCAGAGAGGUGGGAGGAUCACUUGAGCCUGGGAGAUUGAGACUGCAUCGAGCUGUGAUCAUGCCACUGCACUCCAGCCUGGAAGACAGAGUGAGACCCUGUCUCAGGAAAAAAGAAAAAAAAAAGAUGUUGCUCAGCAAGUUAAUGGACAAACUGUGCAAUAUCCAGAAAACUUUAACAUUCUUCAAAGAAAUAGAAAACACAAUCCUAAAAUUUAUAUGGAAACCACAAAAGACCUAGAAUAGUCAGAGUUAUCCUGAGCAAAAGGAAUCAAACUGGAGGGAUCAUAUUACCUGACUUCAAAUUAUUCUACAGAGCUACAGUAACCAAAACAGCAUGAUACUGGCAUAAAAACAGACACAUAGGAACAGAAUAGACAACCCAGAAACAAAUUCAUACAUCUACAGUGAACUCACUUUUGACAAAGUUAUGAAGAACAUACAUUGGGGUAAAGAUAGUGUCUUUAAUAACUGGUGCUGGGAAAGCUGGAUAUCCGUAUGCAGAAGAAUGAAACUAGACCCCUAUCUCUUAACAUAUACAAAAAUCAAAAUUAAUUAAAAAGUUAAAUCUAAGACCUCAAACUAUGAAACAGCUAAAAUAAAACAUUGGGGAAUCUCUCCAGGACAUUGGAGUGGGCAAAGAUUUUUUGUGUAAUACCUGACAAACAGGCAACCAAAGCAAAAAUGGACAAGUGGGAUCACAUCAAGUUAAAAAUCUGUAUUGCAAAGGAAACAACAAAGUGAAGAGACAACCCAUAGAAUGGGAAAGAAUAUUUGCAAACUAUCCAUCUGUAUUAGGCCAUUCUUGAAGUACUAUAAAGAAAUACGUGAGACUGGGUAAUUUAUAAAGAAGAGGUUUAAUUGGCUCACAGUUUUGCAGGCUGUACAGGAAGCAUGGUGCUAACAUCUGAUCAGCUUGUAGGGAGGCGUCAGGAAGCUUCCAACCAUUGUGGAAGGCAAAAGGGGAAUAAGUAUCUCACAUGGCAGGAGCAAGGGCAAAGAGAGGGGGAGGGAGGUGCCACACACUUAACCAGAUCUUGUGAGUACUCAGGUCUUGUGAGGGUUGCUUGAGGUCAGGGAUACCCCAUUUACCCUGAUGUGUUCAUAUACAUUUCAUGACUGUAUCAAAAUAUCUCAUGUACCCCCAUAAACAUAUACACCUAUUUGUACCCACAAAAAUUUAAAAAUAAUUUCAAUGUUUGAAGACUCAUUAUUAAAAUAAUAGCAGUUUCUAUAAAUUUAAUAUUUCAAUAAAACUCCCAAUAUUUAUUCUUAACACUGGAAAAACUUUUCCAAAAUGCAUAUGGCAGAAAUAUGGGCGUUGAUGAAAGGACAGCAUCAAUUAAUGAGGGAUCCUCCCCCUUGACGAAAAUACCUUCCACCAAGACCCACCUUUAAUGCUGAGGAUUACAUCUCAAAAUGAGAUUUGGGCAGGGACAAAUAUCCAAACUAUAUCACUAGCUAUAUCAGGAGCUGUAACUAUAACUAUAUCAGGAACUAUAACAAUUCUAUAGAAAAAAAAUUAAUCUGAAAACUGGACAAAAAUCUGAAUAGGCAUUUCUCGAAAGAAGACAUACAAAUGGCAAACAGGCAUAUGAAAAUGUACUCAACAUCAUUGAUCCAUUAGAGAAAUGCAAAUCAAAACUACAAUGAGAUAUCAUCUCACCCCAGUUAAAAUAUCUUCUGUCCAAAAGACAGGUAACAACAAAUGCUGAAGAGGAUGUGGAGAAAAGGGAACCCUCGUGCACUGUGGAAGUGUAUAUUAGUACAACCACUAUGGAGAACAGUUUGUAGGUACCUCAAAAACUAAAAAUAGAGUUACCAUACAAUCCAGCAAUUCCACUGGUAGGUAUAUACCCCAAAGAAAGGAAAUCAGUAUAUUGAAGAUAAAUCUGCACCAUGUUUACUGUAGCACUACUCGCAAUAGCCAAGAUUUGGAAGCAAUCCAAGUGUCCAUCAGCAGAUGAAUGGAUAAAUAAAAUAUGGUACGUAUACACAACGGAGUACUAUUCAGCCAUAAAAAAGAAUGAGAUCCUGUCAUUUGCAACAUUAUAGAUGGAACUACAGAUCAUUAAGUGAAAUAAGCCAGGCACAGCAAGACAGACAUCACAUGUUCUGACUUAUUUAUUGGAGCUAAAGAUGAAAACAACUGAACUUCUAGAGAUAGAGUAGAAGAAUGUUUACCAGAGGCUGGGAAAGGUAGUGGGGGCAUGAUGAGGGGGAAUUGGGGAAUGUUAAUGGGCACAAAAAGGUAGAAUGACUAAGACCUAGUAUUUGAUAGCACAACAAGGUUACUACAGUCAAUAAUAAUUGUACAUUUUUAAGGUAUAAUUGAAUUGUUUGUAACACAAAGGAUAAAUGCUUGAGGUUAUGGAUAUCCCAUUUACCCUGAUGUGAUUAUUAGACAUUGCAAACCUGUAUCAAUAUAUCAUGUACCCCAUAGAUGUAUACACCUAGUAUGUACCCAAAAAAAUUAAAAAUAAAGUAAAAAUUUCAAUGAUUA